AGAGUUUGAUCCUGGCUCAGGACGAACGCUGGCGGCGUGCAUGAGACAUGCAAGUCGAACGGACGACCUCGGGCUUGCCUGGGGAAGUCAGUGGCGAACGGCUGAGUAACGCGUGGGUGACCUGCCCGGAAGUGGGGAAUAACUGCCCGAAAGGGUGGCUAAUACCGCAUGUGGCCGCACGUUCGUUCGUGUGACCAAAGCCGCAAGGCGCUUCCGGAGGGGCCUGCGUUCGAUUAGCUCGUUGGUGGGGUAACGGCUCACCAAGGCGACGAUCGAUAGGUGGUCUGAGAGGACGAUCACCCAGACUGGGACUGAGACACGGCCCAGACUCCUACGGGAGGCAGCAGUCGGGAAUUUUGCUCAAUGGGCGAAAGCCUGAAGCAGCAACGCCGCGUGAGGGAUGAAGGCCUUCGGGUUGUAAACCUCUUUUCUCAGGGACGAUAAUGACGGUACCUGAGGAAUAAGCCACGGCUAACUACGUGCCAGCAGCCGCGGUAAUACGUAGGUGGCAAGCGUUGUCCGGAUUUACUGGGCGUAAAGAGCGCGCAGGCGGCCGAGUAAGUCGAAUGUGAAAGCCCCCGGCUCAACUGGGGAAGGUCAUUCGAUACUGUUCGGCUUGAAGAUAGGAGAGGGAAGCGGAAUUUCAGGUGUAGUGGUGAAAUGCGUAGAUAUCUGAAGGAACACCAGUGGCGAAGGCGGC
rnacentral:rRNA from 1 species